rnacentral:lncRNA from 1 species
AUAUGAAAAUAUUAUUGAUGACGUGAAAAUAGUUAUCGUGUAGUGGCAAAAGUUAAAUAAUGAGCCAUUAAGCCUAUUGUACAUGUUUUUGAAUCCCCAACUAAUCAUUUUGUUAUUUUUUGUUUUUAUUAUUUCUGAAAAAUUUGCACAAUUAGUUCAUAUUAACACCUCUAAUAAAUUCCUCCCUAACCUUGAGUAAAACUUACUUUGAUUUGAAGUCUUUGAAUGUACAAUGAUUGCUAGAGGAUUUUUAUUGCAAGUAAUAGAUGGCGUGCUUUGUGUUGUCUUUCGGUUUCGUGGGUUGUUUUAGUAUUUAUUUAUUUUUAUCGGUAAAUGUGUUAGUAUUUAUUGACACUAGUACAUCACGUCUAUUCAAUGCUGUACAACUUUACACGUGUGUGAUUCACAAGAUACAGCUAGAGAAAUGUGAUUUGAUGCUUUCUAUCUUCUAUGUUACCAAAACUAAGACAAGAUCAAAGAAUUUUGAUUUUCUUGGAUUUAACAAACCUCUAUUCUUAUUUGCCAUUUUGUGCAGAUGAUCCGAUCAGUAAUCCAAACAUUUUUGGAGAUCCAUACAAAAAGUUGUUUGUAAAUAGACUUGUGAAUAAUAUUUAUCCUUGAAAUUAGAAUCUUAUUCACUAUUUAUCACGUCCAUUGGUUGACUCAAUUUGUCAUGUUAGCAAAAUCAACCAUUCUACACGUAUACUUUUUUCAUACCUUUUUUCACAGAACAAACACAUGCAAGUGGGUGGAUCCACGAUUAUUUAAUCUUGGACCCCACCUUUGUGACAGAGUGUGAAAAUUGAUGUAAAAAAAAAAGUGACGUACAAAUAGCAUUUUUGUUGCAAAAUUACGAGACAUCAGAAAGCAGGACCAAAAGGGAGCACGAGGCUUAUGGGCCAAUCAAGCGGCUAGGUAUUAUAGAGCAAGUCAAUAGAGGGCUCAAGUUAAAUUGGAUUUGGCUUCUGGUUUGGUAAGAAUUUCACAUUUGGCGACUGUGUCCUAUCCUCCUUUUUGUCUUUUCAUUGAAAUAUGUUUCAUUAUUUUGAUUUUUGCAUUUUAAAAAUGGUAAAAGAGAAGACGAACUAAAAUUAAGUUUAUCUUUUUAUAAUUGUGAUGUAAUAAUUUCAAUAAUCCAACAUUUUAUUAACAUAUGAUACCGUCAUUUUUUGUCUAUAACAUGAUAGUAUAUAGGAUGUGUCCUUUUUCCGAGAAUUGAGAUUAUUAAAAAGAAGAGAGUUCUAACACUAUUCAUAAGGCGUCAUUUCCCAUUACCAUGAUAUCAUUGCCAUUUCUGUCCAUUUAUUUGCCUGUCUUUGUUUUUAUCUCUCAUUUGCUUGCAUCAUAGAUUGAUUAUGAAUGUUAUAUAUGGCAGAAAUGUCUUAGUUAGUAUUGUUGCUUUGCAUUUCUCAGAUUAUUGAGAAGUUUAGUAGAUCAACCUGUGUAAUCUACGACAGAAUUGAAUAAUUAAUACUAAUUGUGUUGAAUGUAUUUAUACAAAUAAGAAUAUGCUUUACAAAUACAUAAUAUGAUUAUUAUCUGUCCAAAAUAGUAUUCAAAUGUACUUAUUUCACAAGAAGCCACAAUUUUGAAGUUUGAAGCUUUUGUAUGAUGUGGCAUCUAUCAUUGGGGAAGAACACCUUUGUUUACAUGGUGAAAUUUUUGAAAGUUGGAUACAAGCACGUCCGAAAAACGUUGGAAAUUAAUUUAGUUUUUUGUUGAGGCUGGAAUAAAUUUUCAUAAAUUGCUUGGUGGUAUUGUCUGGAUAAGACAAGUUAAUUUUUGGGAUUAAACCUUUGUUUCAAAAUCAGAUUUUUCAAGAUGUUAACUGCACUACGAAAAAUUCCCAAGGAUUAGGAUGUGGAGCCUACUGAGUUUGAGGAGAUUGUUCUCCAUCUCCUCACUCAAUUGAAUUUUACUGCGAUUAUUAAAUGCAUCAUGAUUCAUUCAUUCUUGAUAGUUAUUCAAACUCAUUUCGACUUGGAGAAUACAAACCAAGAGAUUAAGAGUGACUUGAAAGACCUCUACAUUAACUCUGCCAUGUAGGAUAGUGUCAAUCUCUCGUAGAUAUUCUCCAAGUUCAAUAAGAAGUAGUAAUAUAAAUUUAUAUAACAUAGUUUUUCUGUUAUAAGAACAAGUAAAUAAUGUGCAUAAUGGAUCAAGUUUUGGGGCGAACCUCUUUUUGUUCUUUCAAAUUUCUUUCAUUUUGGUGACUUUACUGGAACAUUCAUAAUGAAAUGAUCGACCUAUUGUUUAAGGGACGAAAACUAUCAUACGGUGUUCCUCAACCCUUGUCCCUUUUUUCUGUGUGACAGCAUACUUUUAUGUGUAAAAGUCCUAAAGAAAAGCAACCCCAAUCCCAUAUCUCAAUGUGCACCAAUGGUUGCACUGGAUAUUAUAUUUGUCCAAAAGCCUGCCUCUCUCUAACCCACUCUCUCAUUUAUUUCCUUCAAUGAUUAAUUCCUAUUCAACCUUUCCAUAUAACUCUACGUUUGGGUGUUUUGAUGCCUGUUCAGAUUUAGAAAUACAUAUUUUGCCUGGAGAUGUGUUGUAGUAUCAUGGAACACAACUAAGUUAAACUCCUUUUAUUCUCUAUUUGUAGGAUAAAAGUUACAAUUUCUCAACCCACGACUAUAAAUGAUGGAUUUCAAGUGCGCAGUCCUUUUCCCCUGUAUAUAUUGUAGUUUAUGUUCGAGUAGUUGCUGAGGUUGUAUACACCCUCACUUUAUUUUAAUACAAGCUUCCUUUUAUCUUUUUCCCUACAAUUAGCUUUUACGUUUGGACCUCUAAUUCUAUUUUGAUGUGGCACUCUGAAGAUUAUCAUUCUAAUCGAGCACGUAUAUAAAAAACCUCCACUAUUUUAUUCUCCCUGAGAUUUAUAUGUGUUACACAAAGUAAUGAACCAAAAAUAUACAAAACAACCAAGAAAAUUAUUAGUACAAAAUUAUAGAAAUCCGUUUCCAGCUGAUCAAUGAAACUCAGACCACAGGCAUCAAAGAUGAAGGUCUUUCAUGUUUUAAGCUUAGAAUAGAGAGAAAAUUAGGUUUGUACCCGUCUGUAUGACCCACACGAUCCACCCAAAUCCUAAGGCUUUUCCUCUAUCAGAUUAAAGGAAGCCACAAGGGUAAAAUCACACACCAACCCCUUCAAUACACUUAGUAUUUCAGUAAAGCAGAGAAGAAUCACUCAGAAAUCAAUUCCAAUCAGAGAUUGGAAGUUCACGAAGAAGAAGAAGGAUUUGGAAGAGUCUCAAAGUCUCACAGACUGCUCAAGAAGAAGAAAGUGACGAUUCCACCCAAAUUAGGGCAACCAAGAGGCAAAUUUAUACCCACAGACAAAUAACAAUUGAUCAAGAUUUCAUCCAACGGUGGAGGGCUCCCAAGAAUAAUAAAGAGGACGUAUUUUUGGAUUGCAUUUAAAAUGCCUCGCCUAAAAAACACGUUUUCGACCUUUUUGGCCGGGUGGAUCAAGUCACGUUAUUGGGCAAGAGCCUUAGUUUAAUAAAAUAGAAUUUGGGCUUUAGCCCAUUUUGUUAUCACAGCCCAGAAAGGUCAUUAGGCAUCACAACCCAACAACCUCCACCUUGAUGCCAAUGGGAUUUCUGGACACUUGCAGCUCUCCAAUUGACACAAGCUAUACCUUUGUCCCCAUGUGUAAUGGAUUAUAUUGUGUAAGAACUUUUUCAAGAAGAACAGAUUCAUUUGAGAUGAUAUCCCUAAUAAAAUGUAACUUCACAUCUAUAUGUUUAGUUCUUUCAUGAAAAAUAGGAUUCGUACACAGGUGUAUUACACUUUGGCUAUCAGAAUAUACAACGACAAGUUUAUUUAACAUUCUUAUUUCAGAUAACAGUCCCUUAAGCCACAAGGCUUCCUUUAUGGCCUCUGUGGUAGCAACAUAUUCAGCCUCUGUGGUUGAUAAAGCAACUAUAGACUAUAAUUGAGACUUCCAACUCACACAGGUACCACAAAGUGUAAAUAUAUAGGCAGAUGUGGACUUUCUAUUGUCCCUAUUGCCAACAAAAUCAGCAUCCACAAAGUCUUUAAGCAUUAUUCCUUCAUUACAGUUUUUAAACACUAAUCUUAAGCUAGAUGUACCUUUUAAGUACCUAAGAAGCCAUUUAAGAGCUUCCCAAUGUUCAGGACCAGGAUUAGCCAUAAACCUGCUUAAAGUGCUGAUUGCAUGAGCCACAUCAGGUCUGGUACAGACCAUGGUAUACAUUAUAGACCCUACUGCAUUAGCAUAUGGAACCUUUUCCAUGUACUUUAUAUCAGAUUCAUUAAUUGGACAUUGCUCUUUACUUAAUUUGAAAUGACUAGCUAAGGAUAAAGACACUGAUUUUGAUUCAUGCAUGGAAAACUUAGAUAAGACUUUUUCUAUGUAAGCCGAUUGUUUCAAGAUCAAGGUGGAUUGCGAUCUUUUUCUAAGUAUAUCCAUUCCCAGUAUUCUUUUAGAAUGCCCCAGAUUUUUAAUUUCAAACUCAGCUCCAAAAGUUUCUUUAAUAUCAUUUAUCUAUUUUAAAUCAUGCCCAAUUAAUAGCAUGUCGUCAACAUAAAGUAAUAGAAAAAUGGAUAUUAAGUAAUCAGAAUUUUCUUAAAAUAAAGGCAAUGAUCAUAAGAGCUUCUUACAAAAUCAACAGUUAUGACAAAAUUAUCAAACAUUUUAUACCAUUGUCUUAGUGACUGUUUUAAACCAUAUAAGGAUUUUUUAAAGUAAGCACACAAAAUCAGAUUUAGAUUUAUUUACAAAACCCUCAGGUUGUGACAUAUAAAUUGUCUCAUCUAAAUCACCAUGUAAGAAUGCUGUUUUUACAUUCAUUUGUUCUAGUUCCCAAUUGUGAUAUGCAAAUAAUGUAAGUAGGACUCUAAUAGUUGUGUAUUUUAUAACAGGUGAAAAUAUCUCAUUGUAAUUCACACCUUGUUUUUGUGUAAACCCUUUAACAACUAAUCUUGCUUUAAAUCUUACAAGCUCAUGAUCUAAACUGCCUUAUUUCACUUUGUAAAUCCAUUUACAAUUAAUUAUGGAUUUAUUUUGGGGUCUGUGCUCAAGAUCCCAAGUUUUAUUUUUCAUUAAAGAGCUCAUCUCUUCUCUCAUGGCAGCUUCCCACUUACCAGACUGGUUGCAACUCAUAGCUUCAUUAUAGGUCUUAGGUUCCUUAUAGGCUAGAUCAUUAUAAGACAUGACAGAAUAGGAUAGAUAGUCUUCAUAUCUUGUAGGUACUCUUAUGUUCUUUCUAGGCCUAUCCCUAGUCAAUUGAUAGUCACUGAGAUCACUUUGUUGACUGGGAUCAUCCAUUUCAAUUUGUUCCUAUUCCUGCACGCCUGAAUAUUCUAAUUCAGUCUGAGUCUGAGGUAGUGUAAGUUCAUUCUCUCUCAUAUUAUCAGGAACAUAAUCAAUUUGAGAUCCCAACUCCACCUGAAACCUGGUCACAUAUGGGUUUUCAGGGUUUGUAGACAUUUGUUUUUCUAAACAAGGCAUUUUAUCCUCAUUAAAGGUAACAUCUCUACUUGUCAUGAUUUUAUAUCCCCCAUGACCUCUAGCCCAUAACCUAUAACCUUUAAUUCCUUUAGGAUAGCCUAAGAACACACAUUUCUGAGCCCUUGGCUCCAAUUUCCACAAAUUUUGGUGACAGUAAGCUGUACACCCAAAAACUCUAAUGUGGGAAUAAUCUGUCAAUUUCCCAGACCACUUCUUUUCAGGUGUUUUUCCUUCUAAAGCACUAGAAGGGGUUCUAUUCACUAUAUAUGUGGCUGUCACAACAGCCUCCCCCCCCCCCCCCCACAACACCUUAGAAACUCCAAAUCCCACCAUCAUACAUCUAACCUUAUCCAACAAUGUCCUAUUCAUUUUCUUGGCCACCCCAUUUUACUGGGGUGUAUAUGGGACAGUUUUGUGUCAUAAGAUUCCAGUUUGUUCACAAAAUUUAUCAAAUUCUAAGUUGCAAAAUUCAAAUCCAUUAUCAGUUUUCACAAUUUUGAUCUUUGUAGACAUUUGAUUUUCAAUAAGGACUUUCCAGUUCUUAAACUUUUCAAAGGUUUCAGAUUUGUGUCUUAGAAGACACAGCCACACUUUUCUUGAAAAGUCAUCUAUUAUUGAGAGGAAAUACUUAUUUCCCCCUUGGGUAGUUGUGGAGGCUGGACCCCACAAAUCAGAGUGGACAUAUUCCAAUGAGGAGGUAGUCUUAUGCUUUCCAAAAUCAAAGUGGAGUAUGUGAUGUUUACCAAAAGUACAGUUUUCACAGAAGGAAAUUUUUGAUAUUUGGUCCUUACCAAAUGCCCCCAUUUUAUAUAGGAUUGUGAGGCCUUUUUCACCAACAUGUGCAAGCCUUUUAUGCCAUUUUAGGGUAGAAUCAGAUUCAGUAUUAGAUAUAACAACAUUAUUUUCAAGUACUGUUUUAGCUUUAACUACAUAAAUUCCAUUUUUCUUUACACCCUUCCCUUGAUCACUUUCAUCAACCCGACUCCAAUCAUAAUACCACACAUCCCUAAGUCAUCUAAUUCUCCCAUAGAGAUCAGAUUCCAUUUAAGUUCAGGUACAUACCUUACUCUCUCUAGGGUAUAUAUGUAUCCAUUUUCAAAUUUUAGGGUCACAUUAUCUAAACCUUCAACUUUGUAGGCAAUAUUAUUCCCCAUCACCACUUCACCACCUCCUAACUUCUUAAAAUUUUGAAGCCACGAACUUUCAUGUGUAAUAUGAAAGGUACAACCUGAGUCCAAAAUCCACUAAUGGACAUAUCGCCUGUGAGCAUAAUUUGGUACUUCCAGAUCAGGUUGCUGAGCCACCACAUAAACAUCAAAUGUGUUAGGUUCAGCGGGCUCAACUACGUUCCCCUCAUCUACUUUCUUUUCUUUAAAUUCAACUUUCUUGUUAUAGCAAUCUUUUAUGUAAUGACCAAGUUUGCUGCAACCAUAGCACUUAAUGUUAUUUCUUGAUUUUGAUUUGGAUCUUGAUUUACUCCUGAAUUUCUUUUUGUUACUGUUCCCUGAAUGAUUUUGAUUUGGAUGGUUAUUAUUUUGCCUAUUUGGUUGUCUUCCUCUCAUGAACAAACUCUCAGAUUCUUUCCCAUGUCUUUCAGUUUUAAGUUCCAAUUAUUUACUUCUUAUGGAAUUUAUAACAACCUCAGGAGUUAAAAUAUCUCUGCCAUACUUAAUGGUAGAUUUGACUUCCCUAUAUGCCUCCGGUAUGGCAUUAAGAAGUAUUACUGCUUUAUAUUCUUCAGAAAUCACAUCUCCAGCAUUGGUGAUAUCUUGUACCAAUUUAUUAAAGGUAUCAAGAUUAUCAUCCAAGUCUUUGGUUGGAUCAAUCUUAAAACUAAAGAACCUCUCUAGAAGGAAGAGCUUAUUAGGUAAAGACUUCACUAAGUAUAGCUUCUCUAAUUUCUCCCAUAGGGCUUGAUCAUUUCUUAUUUCCCUACUUUUCUUAACACUUGGUCAGAUAGGUGGAGAAUAAUUGAGGUAUGGGGUAAAUCAUCUGAUUCAGUUCUCUAUUCUUGUGUCAUUGUUUCAAGAAACUCUCCAGUUAUAGCCUUAGAAACUUUAUGUUGCACUAAAAUCCCUCUCAUUUUUUGUUGCCAUAUAGGAAAAUCCCCCUUUCCAUUGAAGACUCCAAGUUCAAAACUAGUGGUGAUCAUCUUAUUGAUCAAAACAGGUUACACUUAGCAAUAUUGAUUUGAUCACUAAGGGCAAAUAAGAGGCAGAGAUUCUUGCUAUUACAGGCAAGGCAGAAAAAGUAUAUGUAAGUUUAGAAAGAACAACUUAACAUACACACAUUAUCCAACACAAAGUUAAAAAAAAUAAAUAAAUCAACUAUCCAGCCCUACCAGGAUUUCGUGAUACUCAAGAUCUCAUGUCAAGGCUUGGGUGGUGGGUAGAGGUUUUGUUGAUACGAAAUGAGGAAGGUAUUAAUACAAGACAGGAACAGAACAGUUAUCCAUUGUACUAUAAUAUUCCAACACAACAAGAAUCAUAAAACAUUAUACAAGUACAUUGCACUACUCCAGCAGAACAAGUAUAGGCAGCUUAACUCAAAUCACACAGGCCCAAAUGCAAGAACAAUUAUUCAGUAAAGGCAGAUAACAAGAAAUCGAGCAGUAAAAGUAGGGUUCGAAGAAUUAACCUAUAGUGGUGGUCAUUUCACAUGACCACACCCGAAUUUCAUCAAAGCACGAGUCCACAAUACCCAAGAUCGAAUAGAUCCAAUCACCGUAGGUAGUUUUCACCAAGAAAAGCCAAAUUUAUCACAAAGAAAGUUCCAAGAAAUUUACCAGAUUUGCUGAAUAUUGCAAGAACGUGGUUCAAUUCACCCACAAGAGCCAGUUGAAGGCUCUGAUACCACUGUUACACAAAGUAAUGAACCAAAAAUAUACAAAACAACCAAGAAAAUUAUUAGUACAAAAUUACAGAAAAAAAUCUGUUCCAGCCGAUCAAUGAAACUCAGACCACAUGCAUCAAAGAUGAAGGUCUUUCAUGUUUUGGGCUCAGACUUAAGAGAAAAUUAGGUUUGUACCCAUCUGUAUGACUUACAUGAUCCACCCAAAGCCUAAGGCUUUUUCUCUAUCAGAUUAAAGGAAGUCACAAGGGUAAAAUCAUACACCAACCCCUUCAAUAAACUUAGUAUUUCAGUAAAGCAGAGAAGAAUAACUCAUAAAUCAGUUUCAAUCAGAGAUUGGAAGUUUACAAAGAAGAAUAAGGGUUUGGAAGUGUCUCGAAGUCUCACAGGCUGCUCACGAAAAAGAAAGUGACGAUUCCACCCAAAUUAGGGCAACCAAGAGGCAAAUUUAUACCCACAGAUAGAUAACCAUUGUUCAAGAUUUCAUCCAAUGGUGGAGGGCUCCCAAGAAUAAUUAAGAGGACGUGUUUUUGGACUGCAUUUAAAAUGCCUCGCCUAAAAAACACGCUUUCUACCUUUUUGGGCCAGGUGGAUCAAGUCACGUUAUUGGGUAAUAGCCUUAGUUUAAUAAAACAGAAUUUGGGCUUUAGCCCAUUUUGUCAUCACAGCCCAAAAAGAUCAUUAGGCAUCACAUCCCAACAACAUGCUAACAGCAGAAGUCAAGCCUGGCUCUCUUUUCACCUUGUUUGUCAGCUGCAGUAUGCUCUUUUUAUUUUGUUACUAAUUUGUACAGACUUCUAUGCAUACCUUAGUCAUAAUUUUUUGUGCUUCCUACCUUCUUCGUGGCUAAAUUUUUCAAACACCAGAUUGACAUGUUAUCAUUGCCAGGUAAGUUAUGCAUUAAUUGGUAAAAGCCUUUUCUCUUGUGAAUUUUUUUUUAUAUGUUGUGUACUUCAGUUAAUUUUCAGUAAAGUUAAAAUUAUUCACUUUCAUUUUUUCCUCUUAUAAAAAAUAACCCAUUAUUUUAUUAUGAUUAUUAUCCCUACAUUAUAUUAGAGAGGAAAGUUUGUUACUAUUCAUAAGGUAUCAUCCAUUGCUAAAAAAUGAUUGAUAGAACUGUUUUUAGUUAUUUGAUAGUUUUCCCCAACCAAGAUGAGUUUUUUUUUUUUUUUUUUUCAGCCGACAACAAAUACCCUAGAGAGAGUGUCACCUCUUACGCAUCCAGUGUGAAUUGUGUUGAAACAUGUUUUCGUGAUUUGGCUUCUCAAUCUUAGUCUUUGGUAAACCCACCUUUGCUUAACGUUAUCAUGUGAUGUGUGUGCAGUAAGUUCUAAUUCCAUCAUUUGGAUGACUAUGUAGACUUUGCAGGCAAAAAAAAUUUCAUUGCAAACCGGUAUCAAUACUUCCAUUGCAAUAGCUGGAGUUGCAAUCUACUCCAUCUUAAGGCCAAGAUGGAAGAAGAGAAACAGGUAAGUUCAACUAUAAGAAUCAGAUUUGUAUGCUGGUGCUAUCUAAUAGCACAUCAAAUUUGAUGCAUGUUGGAAGAUCACUAUUCUCCUAAUGUUCAAUCUACGACCUUUUGCUUGUGCAUUUGAUAUCCGAAUACUACUAUUUUUUUGGUAGCAAGUGAGAGCAACAGAAAGUAUGUAUUCUUCUAUUCUUAAUUAAUCUUUGGCUUCAAUUAAAUCUAUAGAUCUUAUUUCAAUUUUCCUUGUCUUUUCUAAGAUGAUGCAUCAGGAGAUAUGUUUGGUUUAUUUCAUUACGUUUUUAGUUAAUAAUUCUGUAGAGUCUUCAAUCAUCAACCACCAAGGCUUUACAGGCUCAGUUCACCAAAUCCCAAAUCAACACCAUCAAUCAAACAACCUAAGAACACUAACAAAAUCUGAAAAACCAGAAUUGCUGAAGCAAGAGAAUAUGUGAUGGUAAAUUUUCUCUUCACAAUCUGAUCAAUCUUUACAAGUGUAUAUAUAGGGUGUAGCUCUAACUAACUAACAAAAUUAAAGCUGUACAGGGAAAACAGAAAGAAUAAAAUGCUAACAAAUCUGCCAUGUCAGUAGCUAUACAAUAGAAAGGAAUCUAAAUUAUAUUCAAUACGCCUCCUCAAGAUGGAAGGUGAAGAUUAUGAACUCCCAUCUUGCUUAACAGUGCUCUGAACCUCAAUCCUCCAGUAGAUUUAGUUAACAUGUCUACAAGUUGAUCCUUAGUACUUAGAUGCAUAGUUCUGAUCUUACCCUCUUGUAUUUUCUCUCUGACCACGUGACAAUCUAGUUCGAUAUGUUUUGUUCUUUCAUGAUAAACUUGAUUUGCUGCAAUAUGUAUGGUUGGUUGAUUAUCACAAAAUAAUAAUGCUGGAUCCUUAUGUUUAAUCCCCAAAUCAGCAAGUAUGUAUUGCGGCCAUGUUAAUUCGCAUACUACUGAAGCCAUAGCUCUGUAUUCAACUUCUGUAGAGGACCUGGACACAGUGCUUUGCUUCUUUGAUCGCCAUGAAAUUAAUGAAUUUCCCAAAAAUAUACAAUACCCCGUGAUGGAUCUUCGGGUAUCUGAGCAUGCAGCCCAGUCUGCAUCACAGAACCCUUUAAGUUGCACCUCUGAAUCCUUUUCAAAGAACAAACCUUGUCCUGCAGUCCCCUUAAGAUAUCUUAGUACAUGCAAGGCUGCAUUAAGAUGUGGUUGUCUAGGUAAGUCAACAAACUGACUGAGGAUCUGAACCGGAUAAGUGAGAUCUGGUCUGGUGAUGGUAAGGUAGAGUAAUCUGCCUACAAGUCUUCUGUAGGUGCUGGGAUUAGUGAUCAGGUCACCAUCUGAUUUGGAAAGUUUCAAAUUUUGCUGUAAAGGUGUUUUGGCGGGUUUAGCACCCAAAUAUCCCACAUUUUCCAAGACUUCCAAAGCAUAUUUCCUUUGGCAAAUGGAGAUCCCAGUGUUAUUUCUAGCCACUUCAAGACCUAGGAAAUACUUCAAAGUUCCAAGGUCCUUUAGCUUAAAUUGUUGGUCCAAAACCUUCUUAAACUGAUCAAUGUACAUCACAUCAUUUCCAGCAAUGAUGAUGUCAUCAACAUAGACUAGUAAGAUGGUAGAUGAGCAACCAUUGAUUUUGGUAAAUAAUGAGUUAUCUGAUUGUGAUUGAGCAAAACCUUGAGAGAGGAUGAAACUGGAUAGUUUGUUGAACCAUUGCCUUGAGGCUUGUUUAAGGCCAUAAAUGGACUUAUUGAGCUUGCAUACAAGUUUAACACCAUUGGCCCCCUGCUGCUCAUACCCUGGAGGCAUGCGCAUAUACACCUCCUCUUCCAAAUCUCCAUGAAGAAAAGCAUUAUUCACAUCAAGUUGGAACAGAUACCAUUGCUGUGUUGAAGCUACUGCUAAAAGUGCUUUGACUGUGACCAACUUAGCCACGGGAGAGAAAGUAUCUUGAUAGUCCAACCCGGCUUGUUGUGUAAAGCCUUUGGCAACAAGUCGUGCUUUCUUUCUUUCUUCACUACCAUCUGCCUUGUAUUUAAUUUUAUAGACCCAUUUACAAUCAACAAGGGUCUUG